CAGUCCCUACCUCCUUGCUCCUGCUAACCCUCAUUAAUUCAAGUCUUCAUUCUCUAGCCCAGAUUAGCAAAAUGCUAAGGAUAAGGAACACAGAAGCUCUUUAAGGUCUUUGUGCAACUACUUUUCCACCCUCUGCACGUCCCACCCACUCCUUAGACCUGGCAUUUUGGUCUCAUCCUGUCUCAGCACUGCAGAGCACACCAUUCUCCCUAUGUCUGUGCCCAUGAAGCUCUUUCCUUCUAGAAUCCAACUCCCCCAGCCCGCCAAUUGUUCAUUGUGUCUUCUGCACUGCCUAUGCCUAGAAAU
rnacentral:lncRNA from 10 species